rnacentral:rRNA from 1 species
GACGAACGCUGGCGGCGUGCUUAACACAUGCAAGUCGAACGGAAAGGCCCUGCUUUUGUGGGGUGCUCGAUUGGCGAACGGGUGAGUAACACGUGAGUAACCUGCCCUUGACUUUGGGAUAACUUCAGGAAACUGGGGCUAAUACCGGAUAUGAGCUCCUGCUGCAUGGUGGGGGUUGGAAAGUUUCGGCGGUUGGGGAUGGACUCGCGGCUUAUCAGCUUGUUGGUGGGGUAGUGGCUGACCAAGCCUUUGACGGGUAGCCGGCCUGAGAGGGUGACCGGGGACAUGGGGACUGAGAGACGGACCAGAAGCCAACGGGAGGCAGCAGGGGGGAAUAUUGCAGAAUGGGCGGAAGCCUGAUGCAGAAACGCCGCGUGCGGGAUGACGGCCUUCGGGUUGUAAACAGAUUUCGCCUGUGACGAAGAGUGAGUGACGGUAAUGGGUAAAGAAGCACCGGCUAACUACGUG